CCUACGGGUGGCAGCAGUGGGGGAUAUUGCACAAUGGGGGAAACCCUGAUGCAGCGACGCCGCGUGGGUGAAGAAGUAUUUCGGUAUGUAAAGCCCUAUCAGCAGGGAAGAAAGAAGACGGUACCUGACUAAGAAGCCCCGGCUAACUACGUGCCAGCAGCCGCGGUAAUACGUAGGGGGCGAGCGUUAUCCGGAUUCACUGGGUGUAAAGGGAGCGUAGACGGCCGUGCAAGCCAGGAGUGAAAGCCCGGGGCCCAACCCCGGGACUGCUCUUGGGACUGUGCGGCUGGAGUGCGGGAGGGGCAGGCGGAAGUCCUGGUGUAGCGGUGAAAUGCGUAGAGAUCAGGAGGAACACCGGCGGCGAAGGCGGCCUGCUGGACCGCGACUGACGUUGAGGCUCGAAAGCGUGGGGAGCGAACAGGAUUAGAUACCCCGGUAGUC
rnacentral:rRNA from 1 species